rnacentral:rRNA from 1 species
UACGAAGGGGGCUAGCGUUGUUCGGAAUUACUGGGCGUAAAGCGCACGUAGGCGGAUCGAUCAGUCAGGGGUGAAAUCCUAGAGCUCAACUCUGGAACUGCCUUUGAUACUGUCGAUCUAGAGUAUGGAAGAGGUGAGUGGAAUUCCGAGUGUAGAGGUGAAAUUCGAUAGAUAUUCGGAGGAACACCAGUGGCGAAGGCGGCUCACUGGUCCAUUACUGACGCUGAGGUGCGAAAGCGUGGGAGCAAACAGG